AUUGAACGCUGGCGGCAUGCUUUACACAUGCAAGUCGAACGGUAACAGGCCGCAAGGCGCUGACGAGUGGCGAACGGGUGGGUAAUGCAUCGGAACGUGCCCAGUCGUGGGGGAUAACGCAGCGAAAGCUGCGCUAAUACCGCAUACGAUCUAUGGAUGAAAGCGGGGGACCGUAAGGCCCCGCGCGAUUGGAGCGGCCGAUGUCAGAUUAGGUAGUUGGUGGGGUAAAGGCUCACCAAGCCGACGAUCUGUGGCUGGUCUGAGAGGACGACCAGCCACACUGGGACUGAGACACGGCCCAGACUCCUACGGGAGGCAGCAGUGGGGAAUUUUGGACAAUGGGGGCAACCCUGAUCCAGCAAUGCCGCGUGCAGGAAGAAGGCCUUCGGGUUGUAAACUGCUUUUGUACGGAACGAAACGGCUCUGGUUAAUACCUGGGGCUAAUGACGGUACCGUAAGAACAAGCACCGGCUAACUACGUGCCAGCCGCCGCGGUAACAC
rnacentral:rRNA from 1 species